rnacentral:rRNA from 1 species
AGAGUUUGAUCCUGGCUCAGGAUGAACGCUAGCUACAGGCCUAACACAUGCAAGUCGAGGGGCAGCAUGAGAGUAGCUUGCUACUUUUGAUGGCGACCGGCGAAUGGGUGAGUAACGCGUAUCCAACCUGCCGCACACCCGGGAAUAGCCCUUGGAAAUGAGGAUUAAGUCCCGAUAUGCAUGGUAGUUGCAUGACUACUGUGUGAACCCAGGCAUGUGAUGGGGAUGCGUCCGAUUAGCUUGCCGGCGGGGUAACGGCCCACCGGGGCUUCGAUCGGUAGGGGUUCUGAGAGGAAGGUCCCCCACACUGGUACUGAGACACGGACCAGACUCCUACGGGAGGCAGCAGUGAGGAAUAUUGGUCAAUGGGCGAGAGCCUGAACCAGCCAAGUAGCGUGCAGGAUGACGGCCCUACGGGUUGUAAACUGCUUUUUCCGGGGAAUAACCGGCGGCACGUGUGCCGCCCUGCAUGUACCCGGUGAAUAAGGACCGGCUAAUUCCGUGCCAGCAGCCGCGGUAAUACGGAAGGUCCGAGCGUUAUCCGGAUUUAUUGGGUUUAAAGGGUGCGUAGGCGGGAGGACAAGUCAGCCGUGAAAUCGCGUGGCUCAACCACGCCGAGCGGUUGAAACUGUCUUUCUUGAGUACGGUGAGGGAAGGCGGAAUUCGUGGUGUAGCGGUGAAAUGCAUAGAUAUCACGAAGAACUCCGAUCGCGUAGGCAGCUUUCCGUACCGUUCACUGACGCUGAGGCACGAAGGUGCGGGUAUCAAACAGGAUUAGAUACCCUGGUAGUCCGCACAGUAAACGAUGGAUGCUCGCGGUUCGGCCGUUAUGGUUGUGCCGCUUAGCGAAAGCGUUAAGCAUCCCACCUGGGGAGUACGCCGGCAACGGUGAAACUCAAAGGAAUUGACGGGGGCCCGCACAAGCGGAGGAACAUGUGGUUUAAUUCGAUGAU